rnacentral:rRNA from 1 species
GCUAGAGGCAAUGCUUGAAUGUAGCAGUUCCCGAUAGAUCACUGAAGUUAAGCAACAUUGCGCGUCCUUGGCGUCCGGAUGGGUGACCAUCUUGGCUUUGCGCGUGCUGCUGGCU